CCAGCCUAUCUCGGAUAGUCUGCUUCAUCUAGACCUUCGUCUUAGGAUUGAAGAUGAUCGUGGACUUUUGCAAGUUCACAAGUUAGCCUGAUGCAUGGCAAUAGGCCUCAAUGAUGGAAACAAAACACCUCGCAUUCUGGAUGGAGGCCUAGCCAAUCAAAAGAUAGUCAUCAGCAAAAAGAAGGUAUGAGAGUGACUC
rnacentral:lncRNA from 1 species